rnacentral:rRNA from 1 species
UACGUAGGGGGCAAGCGUUGUCCGGAUUUAUUGGGCGUAAAGAGCGUGUAGGCGGCCAGGUAGGUCGGUUGUGAAAACUGGAGGCUCAACCUUCAGACGUCGACCGAAACCAUCUGGCUAGAGUCCGGGAGAGGAGAGUGGAAUUCCUGGUGUAGCGGUGGAAAUGCGCAGAUAUCAGGAAGAACACCCGUGGCGAAAGCGGCUCCUCUGG